UACGUAGGGGGCUAGCGUUGUCCGGAAUCAUUGGGCGUAAAGAGCGUGUAGGCGGCUCGGUAAGUCCGCUGUGAAAGUCCAGGGCUCAACCCUGGAAUGCCAGUGGAAACUGUCGAGCUAGAGUCCGGAAGAGGCGAGUGGAAUUCCUGGUGUAGCGGUGAAAUGCGCAGAUAUCGGGAAGAACACCCGUGGCGAAGGCGGCUCUCUGGAACGCAACUGACGCUGAGACGCGAAAGCGUGGGGAGCAAACAGG
rnacentral:rRNA from 1 species